rnacentral:rRNA from 1 species
CCUACGGGUGGCUGCAGUGGGGAAUAUUGCACAAUGGGGGAAACCCUGAUGCAGCGACGCCGCGUGAGUGAAGAAGUAAGUCGGUACGUAAAGCUCUAUCAGCAGGGAAGAAAUACUGACCUUACGGUCAGCAGACGGUACAUGAGGAAGAAGAACCGGCGAACGACGUGCCAGCAGCCGCGGGAAUACGUAGGGGGCAAGCGUUAUCCGGAUUUAUUGGGUGUCAAGGGAGCGUAGCCGGGGCGCCAAGUCAGGAGUGAAAUGCCGCAGCUUAACGGCGGAACUGCUUUGGAAACUGGCGAACUAGAGUGCGGUAGAGGUAAGCGUACUUCCUAGUGUAGCGGU